rnacentral:rRNA from 1 species
ACUAACGCUGGCGGCGUGCCUAAUACAUGCAAGUCGAACGGUCAUGCAGUUGUAGCAAUAUGAUUGUAUGAUAGUGGCGAACGGGUGAGUAACACGUGGAAAACCUACCUUCGAGCGGGGGAUAACUCCGGGAAACUGGGGCUAAUACCGCAUAACAUCACUGGGAGGCAUCUCUCGGUGAUCAAUGUCGCAAGACACUUGAAGAUGGGUCCGCGUCCCAUCAGCUAGUUGGCGGGGUAACGGCCCACCAAGGCUUUGACGGGUAGCCGGCUUGAGAGAGCGAACGGCCACAAGGGGACUGAGACACGGCCCCUACUCCUACGGGAGGCAGCAGUAGGGAAUUUUGGUCAAUGGGGGAAACCCUGAACCAGCGACGCCGCGUGGGUGAUGAAGUCCUUCGGGAUGUAAAACCCUUUUUAUCGGGACGAAAGAAAAAUGACGGUACCGGUAGAAUAAGCCACGGCUAACUCCGU